rnacentral:rRNA from 1 species
CCUACGGGGGGCAGCAGUGAGGAAUAUUGGUCAAUGGCCGGAAGGCUGAACCAGCCAUGCCGCGUGAAGGUCAGUGCCCUAUGGGCGUUAAACUUCUUUUGUGCGGGAGCAAUAAUGGUCACGUGUGGCCAGACGACAGUACCGUACGAAUAAGCAUCGGCUAACUCCGUGCCAGCAGCCGCGGUAAUACGGGGGAUGCAAGCGUUAUCCGGAUUUAUUGGGUUUAAAGGGUGCGUAGGCUGUGAGGUAAGUCAGCGGUGAAAUGCCCCCGGUCAACGGGGUGAAGUGCCAUUGAUACUGCCAUGCUGGAGUGCGGAUGCCGUGGGAGGAAUGUGUGGUGUAGCGGUGAAAUGCAUAGAUAUCACACAGAACACCGAUUGCGAAGGCAUCUCACGAAGCCGCGAUUGACGCUGAUGCACGAAAGCGUGGGUAUCAAACAGGAUUAGAUACCCUUGUAGUC